rnacentral:rRNA from 1 species
AGGACGAACGCUGGCGGCGUGCUUAACACAUGCAAGUCGAGCGAGGCCCGUUCCUUCGGGAACGGUGCCCUAGCGGCGAACGGGUGAGUAACACGUGGGCAACCUGCCUCUAGCACUGGGAUAACUCCGGGAAAACCGGGGCUAAUACCGGAUACGACCUCUGAGGGCAUCCUCCGGAGGUGGAAAGCAUUGUGGCUAGAGAUGGGCCCGCGGCCUAUCAGCUUGUUGGUGGGGUAACGGCCCACCAAGGCGACGACGGGUAGCCGGCCUGAGAGGGCGACCGGCCACACUGGGACUGAGACACGGCCCAGACUCCUACGGGAGGCAGCAGUGGGGAAUAUUGCACAAUGGGCGAAAGCCUGAUGCAGCGACGCCGCGUGAGGGAUGACUGCCUUCGGGUUGUAAACCUCUUUCAGCAGGGACGAAGCGAAAGUGACGGUACCUGCAGAAGAAGCACCGGCAACUACGCGCCAGCAGCCGCGGUAA